GGCUGAGAGUGCCCUGGAGACAGGCUGUCUGUGGUUGGGGUGGGUUGGGCUUCUGUGAGCAGCUGCUGGGAGACGGGUGUCGGGGGAGUGUCAGGGGCCAGCGGGAAAGGCCAGAAAGGCUUGAGAGAUGUAAGUAGUUGUCCAGUUGAGAGGGCAGCUGCAGGGACACCCUGGGAGGCAUAACUGUGACCCGUGGGCACCCAGGGGACUUUGUUCUCUUGCCUUCUUCCCACCCUUAAUAUUAUAAUAUCUGGGUUGUUCAUCUGUGGGGAAGGAAGUGCUGCUGAUCUUGAUGGGAGGGAAACGUAGGCUCUAGCUUACCUCCUGGAGGCGGGGCACCAGGUUUGUACUGCAACCAGUGCCUUGGUCUGGUGGUGCGGCGCUGUGUAGCGGAAACCUGGCCCCUGAAAGUUCCUCCUCGCAGUGAGUGAGGCUGGGGAAUGCCGAGCACUUGGUGCUGCCCCGAGCCCCUUUUCGGGCCAGCUCAUGACUGAACGUGUGUGUUUCUGGGAUGUGGGCUGGGGCCCCAUUCUUGGGUGCAGCCCUUCUCCUUGCACUUCUCCUCCCAGAGCCUGCCAGUGGAGACACUGGGCCCGGCAUCCAGGAUGGACCCAGAAUCUGAGAGAGCCCUGCAGGCCCCUCACAGCCCCUCCAAGGCAGAUGGGAAAGAAUUAGCUGGGACCAUGGAUGGAGAAGGGACACUCUUCCAGACUGAAAGCCCUCAGUCUGGCAGCAUUCUAACAGAGGAGACUGAGGUCAAGGGCACCCUGGAAGGUGAUGUUUGUGGUGUGGAGCCUCCUGGCCCAGGAGACACAGUAGUCCAGGGAGACCUGCAGGAGACCACUGUGGUGACAGGCCUGGGACCAGACACACAGGACCUGGAAGGCCAGAGCCCUCCACAGAGCCUGCCUUCAACCCCCAAAGCAGGUGAGAGUCUUCCUUGCCUCUCCUGUCACUCUCCUUCUAGAAGGUAUGGGAGAGGGAUCAGCCAUCACUACUGAGCACAUGCUGUGGUCCAGGCCCUAGGGCUGAGCAGCUUGGUGCUCUCCUUUCUCAC
rnacentral:lncRNA from 1 species